GUCGACCUCCGUGCCGGAUGACAAGAAUCACUUCGAACAACUCGCUUCGCGGGCGUCAAUUAUGUCAUCGGGUUUGUGGGAUGUCGAAGGUUCUUGGGUGCUCUGCUUUGGGUAGCUGAGAAGGAUGAGUGUUCCUUAGGUGCAUUGGGUUUUGGAGCGAUAAAUGAAAAACGAAGUUCAAGUUUAAAAUACGGAUGGAAAAAGAAAUGGCGGUGACGAGAAGAACAUCGAACGACGAGAGGCGGCGGAGUACUCGAGCGAGCGAGCGAGCGAGCGACCGGCAGGCACACGAGACCGGCGCGCGUACGUUCCAGAGUAUCUCGUCGUAGGCCGCGUGACAAACGGUCAGCGAUAUUAAAAUCGUCGCGGGAACACGUUUUUCGUCCGGCUGCGGCGAACUGGAACAUUGCUGCUGGCCCGUUCGGAGCAAACGCAAUUUGUAGCUGUAUGCGUGAGUGACGCGUGACUAACCAUUCGCGUGUCACGUCAUUUCUCUUUGAUAGUAGUGGAACCGCGCUCUUCCCAUUCAAUGCGGUCCCACCUCCUCCUGCACCCUCUGCUCCUCCUAACCUCUCGCCUCCACCUGGCACGAUUACAAAUUAAUUGAGAGUGAAACGCGAACGCACCGGUAAACGCUUUGAAAACGACGUCGACGGGAGCUAGAGGCGCUAAUCAUGAAUAAUGAAUGCCGUGCCGGCCCGCCGCAGAACCCGCUUAGAAACGCACUGCCCGACACACGCGGAUUUCGUACGAUAAUCCCGCCAAAGCUAAGGGAUUUUCCGAAUGUUAAAUCGACCGACCAGCCAUGCGUUCUUCUACCGCAUCCUCGCGAGAUUAAUCGCGACAAAUGUCGAAACAUGGUGUUAAAGCUUUUUGAGUUUUGACGAAAAUGGUCAUUAUCUUAUUUCCGCGAGGGAAAAUAAUUGAUGUUAGAAUUCUAAAAUUUCUUCAAGUGAGAAACUUCAGAUAUUUUAUUACGAUACGACAAUUAACGAUUCUAAAUGAGAUCCGACGAUUGGGGAAGGUUACAAACAAUGACAACGCAAGAAAGACGGAGUCCAUCCUCAAACCCUUCUUUACUUCUUUCCACUCAGCCCACAAUCUUCAAGUUUCUGUUUGAACCGAUCUCAUAAAAAUAUAAAAUACUUCAUAAAAUCGAAGUAGAAAAAGUCGUACUUCGUAACUUGGAAUCGCAAGAAAGCCAAACAAUUCCACUAAAUAGGACAAAACGAAUGGAAAGAGCGAACGGAUAAUGUUCGACGAGACGUGAGUGCGUGCACCUGUUUCGCCAACGCUAGAUUUUCUCCUACACGGUUUAAUUGUAAUCGAAUCACGGUGACAGUUAGACGUAUUGUCCUCGGCGGCCAGUUCUGGAUUCGUUGGCCUGAAAACGGCCGACUAUAUUUGGCCACGAAACCGGUGGCCGCACGCGUAUUCGACUGAACACGACGGAAAUUCAUCGCUCACCGUGCGCGACGGAAUCGUGUCUCUAGAGUGCCGUAUGCUCUCUUUUUCCCUUACCCUCUCUCCUCUCUUUCUCUCUCCUCCGCCAAGCACAUAUAUCCCAUUAAGUUCGUUAACCGAGGCACAAUCGUACACGGUCCCCACGAAUCGAGCCUCGCCGAUUUUAUGCGCCGUUACCACCGGUCGACAGCUUCUUCUCGCGUUUCGAGUUUUUGAGCCGCGUUUCACGGCAAUUACGUUCGAUGACUUUCCUCGAAUUCGUCGCGGAGUCCGUUUACGGAAGGCGGAACAAUAGAGAACCAACGACCCGAGUCUGAUCGACGGCUGUUUCUACUGUGAUUGAUUGCAGACCGACGCCACUUUCGAUCCUCCAGUAAUAUCGUAUAUGUCUAUGCCGACGAGAAAGAGAGUGGAUCGUAUUUAACGAGAUUCAUAGGUUAACCUCGUACGGAAUUGGUACAUGGAAUAAAUAUCGUUAACGAUCAGAUUCGCCCUAAAAUUCGUUCGCCAGAGAACGAGACGAGAUAUCAACCUACUUUGGAAACACGGCGCUCUUGAGUCGCGAUCGCAGCCACCCUCAUCCCAGAUGUCCCGAGUCGACUCGAAAAUUCAAUCCACUCGAACGAGAAGACGCGACAGAGGUCGCAACCCCGUUUCCCUCCAAUGAGCAUCUACGAAAGAGAGCAAAAAGGAAGGAAAGGAAAAGUCCCACCGAUCCGAGUACUCUCAAUCAACGGAAGCUUCUCCGUCUCGCAAUCUUUGGAGAUUACGAGCACAGAGAGAAACGUAAGACGGCUUGAAGUAACCCCCAUGACGCGAAGGAAGGGUGCACGAGGUCUGUCCCGCUCCAAGACUCCGGGGAUGCGACGUCAUAUCGAUCAGGGACUUUCGGAACGGCCUAGCAGAGGGAAGGCUGAAAGCAAUAUUAACGAAGAAGAAGACGAGCACUAGGUCUAUCUCCUCUUCCACCCCUCUACAACCACUUCUUCUCUUUCGCUCCCUCUCCCUCUCUCUUCUCUCUCAUUCUCUCUUGCCCGUACUCUCGUGUCCUUGUCCGAUCUGCUGGAGGGGAAAACGAAGGUACACUAACCCCAGAUCCGAAGCAGCAACCUCUCUCUGCUAGGCGCGGCCUUCUGACGCCCGCUCGAUAGAAACCCGACCGGUUCCAGCCAAUGGGAGGAACGUACGAAGAUAAAGCAGUCGUCCGAUUGGUCGACGUGCUAUUCAGACUGACACCGUGCUGAUGGGAAACGGGCGAGCCACCGAGCCGCGUGGAGAUGGAACUGGUCCCACCAGCAUCCACGGACCUGGGGAUUCUCCGUGCCGAGAACGAGAGUCAUCUGGCGAAUGCCGCUGGAGGCCGUUUUCGACGGCUGAUUCUACUUACGUCUCCACGAGGAUUCCAAGGAAAUUGCCACGGGGUUCAAACGAAAGGACCUAGAGUGUCCUAGAGCAUCGAAUUGGGUCGAGGAUCGAAAUUUGGGUUUUUUAGGGGUGAGAAAUUGCCUUAUAGUUAGUAUAGACAAAGUAGUUUGACGAGGCAUAACAUGUCCCUGAUUAUUCCUUUUUUAAAUUCGUCAUUUUUUAAUGUGUUUAAAAUAAUCGAGAAAUUGAGGUGCUAUGAGCAAGAAUUUGUAUAAUAAAUAAGAAAUAUCGUUUUAAAUGUAAUAUUUACAAUUCGAGUUUUAUCUAUCGCAGCGCAUACAACGUUUAAGUUUGCAUUCAGCAUUUUUUUGUUUUCGCUACUUACAUCGUUUACUGAUUGAAAUCUCUCGAUUUUGCGAAAAGAGAUCAUAACGAUUUUGUGGGAGCAAAUUGAAAUGUUGGUAAAGAGUCGAGGAAUAAUAGUUUGAUAUAUUUGCUUUGAGACUGUUCUCUGUUUCUUUAAUUAGGUUUGCUUCCGAAAAUUCGAGAGAAAUAACACGGUUCAAGUGAUGACAGAUUCUCGAGUAAGGGACCUUGAUCGACAUCCUGGUAUUGCUGUAGAGACGUAUUCUAAAUUUUGUAAAUUGGCAAUAUUUCAAGCUAGACUUGAGUCGCUCCAAAACUCGUGUCCCGACUGGUUCCAUCAAUCGUGAGAAAGAGAAAUUAAUUAGCGUAAUUGAACCCGAGUGUAAUUUGAAGGCUUCGUUAACACUUUCUUUAUGCUAAUCUCGAAAUACAUGUAUCUCGACGUCGUGCAUAAGUAACUGCAGAGUUAUUAGCAAUCCUUAUCCACUUCCCAACAUCGUAUCAUCCAAUUUCAAGGUAAUCUAAGAUUAACGAAGAUUUACUUCAUCCGUUAGCUGUGAAGAUUAAACGUAUCUUUGAAGGAACAUAAUAAUAGUAAAAUAUUAAUAGCGAAGAAAUUUCUAGAUAUUUAACAAAAUACUUUAUUCUUCGUCUAACUACAAUUAAAUGAUUUUUCAACCUAGAUAUCUAACUACAGUUUUUCGAAUAUUGUAAAUGAUUCAAAGUAAAGUCAUAUCGAACUUUUGCUGUUCUUCGAUUCAUUCAUUCAAUUACAUACACAUGUUAUCUGCUGAAAGUUUGGAAUUACAGCAGAAACGUAAAAACGUAAAAAUGAUUUUCGUCAAUCCAUUGCUAAAACGAAUCUCCGACUUGCGAUUCUUUUAUCUUGGAAUAUUCUGUAGUCAAAAAUCCAUCGAGGUAAAGAAAAUUACCGGAAUUAGUAGAACAUCCAGUAUAGGCACAAGUAGAGAAACGGCUGCAAAUGUUUGGUUGAUACUAUCUGUCAUACAUUACAGCAAUUUGCAAUCUCUACACCUAUCAAUACCUAUCAAAAAUAAACAACCGACAAAUCUUCGAGAUCUGAUCUUCCACUCUUUCCAACAUGACAUCAAAGAAUCUAUCCAAGUAAUAUAACCAGUCUGCUCUAAAUUCAGCGUAUCUUGAGACGUUUCAUGCUUCACGGUAUCCUAAGAUGAGCUUGAAGAGGCAAAGAAUCGGUAAAAUCGGUAACGGAUCCGGGAUGCUCUGUUCGGGCCCUUGAUUCAGGCAGCGGUGCAUCGUCUAAGCUCGGGGGCCGAUUGCAUUAUGUAAAAUACGGUGUUUCGCUCGCUACGUUAUCUGGCUGGUGUAAGAGUAAAUAAGUGCAAAGAUAUAACGGUUAAUUUCCGUGUUAACCGCGUUUUAUCGCGACGUCUAUCCACAGCGAGCCGCCCAAGCAGCAGGAUGCCGACUCUUUUCAGUGUGAAUCUACCGCGGUCGCCUGUUCCACGUGUGUCUACCUUAACGCUCGCACACGGCCAGACACGCACAAUGGCCAUACCUUCACACACGGACAUUCUCUACGUUGUAGAGCCUACAAUAUUCACAGUGUACAUGCACACCUGUCCACCUUUGGGUCUCUCUGAUCACGGAACGUGUGUUCCACGCGGUCUCGCGUGUUACCGUGCGCUCGCUACGUUGCUCGGGCUUGCAUCUCGCGUUGAACGAGGACGUUGCAGCCAGAACGCGCGGACACGAGCUGAGAAGAGCAGACAGAGAAGGAAAAAGGGGGCGGCGGCGUUGGUGGUGGUGGUGUUCGGAACGAGGACACGGGAGGGAAGAGGGCAAACGCUCUCGGUGCGUGUGCGCGUGCAUCAAGUAUAUUUAUGUGCGGCACCGUCACGUGGGGAAGGAUCGUAGAUUGCGGCCUGGGACAUGCCGGUGUUGGUGAAUGAGGUUGACGUGGAUAAAUGGUAUGUUUCCCCGCGGGAGACGUAUACCCGGUGAUCUUCCGGGCCCUGGACUCGCCGUACAACGGCCGAUCGGAGUGCCACGGAAACUCCAGGAAGCGCACCGCCUUGAUGCUCGUCGUCACAGCCCCUCGAUUGCCACCGUGAAUGUCACCAACCUUCGACAAUCACGCUGGUACCGCCUGGUCGUCGCUGGGAGGUUCGCUCGAUGCUCAGAUUGAAUUGUUAAUAACGGAACGACUCAACGAUAGUGUCUAAAAGCUCGUGGGAGGCCGAGUCCUGAGAUCAUAGUGGUUUUUCUGAUCUUCCAUGUAGCAACAGCCAAACCUUAAGU